rnacentral:tRNA from 1 species
ACCUGGCUGGCUCAGUCAGUAGAGCAUGUGAUUCUUGAUCUCAGGGUUGUGAGUUUAAGCCCCAUGUUGGGGG